CAACUCAUCCUCAAAUGAGUUGAGCAGAAUGCACCUCCUGGAUCUCCAACCCAUGCUCCUUGUCUUUAGGCAAGUGAGUGGAAUACGUCUUCUGGAUCUUCAAUACGCGCUCUUCAUUCACGGACGAGCCAAGUUAAACACAUAUCCUGGAUCUCCAAUGCAUGCUCCUCAUCUUUGGAUGAGCUAAGCGGAAUGCAUCUUUCGAACUCUCCAAUAUGCAUUUCUCAUCAUCGGACGAGCUGAGUGGAACGUGCCUCCUGGAUCUCCAAUGCAUGCUUCUUGUCUUCGGACGAGCUGAGUGGAAUACACCUCUCAGAUCUCUAAUGCAUGCUCCUCAUCUUCGGACAAGCUAAGCAGAAUGCAUCUCUCAGAUCUCCAACAUGCGCUCCUCAUCUUUGGACGAGUUGAGUGGAAUGCACCUCUCAGAUCUCCAACAUGUGUUUCUCAUCUUUGGAUGAGCUAAAUGAAAUGCAUCCCCCAGAUCUCCAACAUGCACUUCAUCUUAGGCUGAGCUAAGCAAAAUACAUCCCCCGGAUCUCCAACACAUGCUCCUCAUCUUCAAAUGAGCAGUGCCGAACAUGUCUUCCGGAUCUUCAAUAUGCACUCCUCAUCUUCGGAUGAGCUGAGCGGAAUACGUCUCCCGAAUCUCCAAUGUGCACUCAACAUCCACGGACGAGUUGAGCAAAAUGCAUCUCCCAAAUCUUCAAUGUAUGCUCCUCAUCCAUAAACGAGCUGAGUGAAAGGCAUCUUCCAAACUGUCCAAUGCGCAUUCCUCAUCUUUGGAGGAGCUAAAUGGAACAUACCUCCCGGAUCUUCAAUGUGUGCUCCUCAUCUUUGAACGAGUUGAGUAGAAUGUGCCUUUCGGAUCUCCAAUAUGCGCUCCUCAUCUUCGGAUGAGCUGAGCAGAACAUGCCUCCUAGAUCUCCAAUGCGUGCUCCUCAUCUUCAAAUGAGCUAAGCAGAAUGCAUCUCUCAAAUCUCCAAUAUGUGCUCCUUAUCCACGAACGAGCUGAGCAGAAUGUGCCUCCUAGAUCUCCAACACACGCUCCUUAUCUUCGGAUAAGCUGAGUGAAAUGCGUCUUUCGAACUCUCCAACGUAUGCUCCUUAUCCUCGAAUGAGCUGAGCAGAAUAUGUCUUCCGAAUG
rnacentral:lncRNA from 1 species